rnacentral:rRNA from 1 species
UACAGAGGUGGCAAGCGUUGUUCGGAAUUACUGGGCGUAAAGGGCGCGUAGGCGCCUUGUCAGUCAGACGUGAAAUCCCCAGGCUUAACUUGGGAACUGCGUCUGAUACUACAAGGCUUGAGUAUGGGAGAGGUAAGCGGAAUUCCUGGUGUAGCGGUGAAAUGCGUAGAUAUCAGGAGGAACACCUGCGGUGUAGACGGCUUACUGGACCAUCACUGACGCUGAGGCACGAAAGCGUGGGUAGCAAACAGGA